AACGAACGCUGGCGGCAUGCCUAACACAUGCAAGUCGAACGAGACCUUCGGGUCUAGUGGCGCACGGGUGCGUAACGCGCGGGAACCUGCCCUUAGGUUCGGAAUAACUCAGAGAAAUUUGAGCUAAUACCGGAUAAUGUCUUCGGACCAAAGAUUUAUCGCCUUUGGAUGGGCCCGCGUAGGAUUAGCUUGUUGGUGGGGUAAUGGCCUACCAAGGCGACGAUCCUUAGCUGGUCUGAGAGGAUGAUCAGCCACACUGGGACUGAGACACGGCCCAGACUCCUACGGGAGGCAGCAGUGGGGAAUAUUGGACAAUGGGCGAAAGCCUGAUCCAGCAAUGCCGCGUGAGUGAUGAAGGCCUUAGGGUUGUAAAGCUCUUUUACCAGGGAUGAUAAUGACAGUACCUGGAGAAUAAGCUCCGGCUAACUCCGUG
rnacentral:rRNA from 1 species